UCCCCUGGGCGCGUGCUUACACAUGCAGUCGAACGGUGAAGCCAAGCUUGCUUGGUGGAUCAGUGGCGAACGGGUGAGUAACACGUGAGCAACCUGCCCUGGACUCUGGGAUAAGCGCUGGAAACGGCGUCUAAUACUGGAUAUGAGACGUGAUCGCAUGGUCGUGUUUGGAAAGAUUUUUCGGUCUGGGAUGGGCUCGCGGCCUAUCAGCUUGUUGGUGAGGUAAUGGCUCACCAAGGCGUCGACGGGUAGCCGGCCUGAGAGGGUGACCGGCCACACUGGGACUGAGACACGGCCCAGACUCCUACGGGAGGCAGCAGUGGGGAAUAUUGCACAAUGGGCGAAAGCCUGAUGCAGCAACGCCGCGUGAGGGAUGACGGCCUUCGGGUUGUAAACCUCUUUUAGCAGGGAAGAAGCGAAAGUGACGGUACCUGCAGAAAAAGCGCCGGCUAACUACGUGCCAGCAGCCGCGGUAAUACGUAGGGCGCAAGCGUUAUCCGGAAUUAUUGGGCGUAAAGAGCUCGUAGGCGGUUUGUCGCGUCUGCUGUGAAAUCCCGAGGCUCAACCUCGGGCCUGCAGUGGGUACGGGCAGACUAGAGUGCGGUAGGGGAGAUUGGAAUUCCUGGUGUAGCGGUGGAAUGCGCAGAUAUCAGGAGGAACACCGAUGGCGAAGGCAGAUCUCUGGGCCGUAACUGACGCUGAGGAGCGAAAGGGUGGGGAGCAAACAGGCUUAGAUACCCUGGUAGUCCACCCCGUAAACGUUGGGAACUAGUUGUGGGGACCAUUCCACGGUUUCCGUGACGCAGCUAACGCAUUAAGUUCCCCGCCUGGGGAGUACGGCCGCAAGGCUAAAACUCAAAGGAAUUGACGGGGACCCGCACAAGCGGCGGAGCAUGCGGAUUAAUUCGAUGCAACGCGAAGAACCUUACCAAGGCUUGACAUAUACGAGAACGGGCCAGAAAUGGUCAACUCUUUGGACACUCGUAAACAGGUGGUGCAU
rnacentral:rRNA from 1 species